AUGAUUGUAACACCGGAGGUAGAUAAGCUUCCUAAAGUGCAAACAAAUUGUAACAACAUGUUUGAUCUUAGAAACUCUCUUAUGUUUUUAUUAGGAAUGAUGUGAUUUUGGAAAUUAGAAUAUCGUGAUGUAUAAACAAGAAUCGAUAUACACUCCAUUGAUGUGUCUUCAUAACGAGUGACCUUAUGUUAAAGAUCGGGGCCUAUAGCUAUACUGAUGCUUUAAAUCUUUGUCGAGGCUUCAGUUAACCACACUUAUGCUUUUAUCAACAAUGGGAUGAUUCUGAUGUCUAACUCGAACGCAAUUUGAAGUUACGAAACAAAAAUAAAAAAGAUCCCUACCAAAUUUUUUGAAUCCGCAGGAAUUUCUUCUUGUCCUUGGAGGGAAUUCGAACGCUGAAAAGACAACUUCCAUCUUUCAGGGUGAAUUUUUGAAUUGAAAAUUUUAUGUUGUGUAUACGACCACAUUACACGUGAAACAAAUGCAUUAACUUACACGAAAUAUGGAAUAAGAUGCAAACCAUCCGAAACAAACUUUACCAAUAAACAGCGUAAGUGUGAUGAGAAAUAUCACUAAUGCAAAUAUAGUUUGGGGAUCUUUGAUACCUAGAAAACCACAGCAGAAGUAUUCAUCAAUGAUCAAUCUUACAAUAACAUUAUAUCUAAUGAAUAAAUUUAUCUAAUCCAUGUAAGGCUAGGCCAUUGCAGUUCGAAUCACAACUUUUGUCGUCCUACUUUCCGUCUCGUUUCAUCAUAUAUACUAACCAUAACCGUAAAACUUAAUUGACCAUAUGUUGACGGUUAAAUUAGAAACAAAAUCUUUUA